CCCUUAGAUGUUCUGGGCCGCACGCGUGCUACACUGAGUGGAUCAGCGGGUCAGGUUGCGCGAAAGUGUUUCCUAAUCUUGAAAUCCGCUCGUGAUGGGGAUUGACGGUUGCAAUAUUCCGUCAUGAACGAGGAAUACCUUGUAAGCGCGGGUCAUCAUCCCGCGCUGAAUACGUCCCUGCCCUUUGUACACACCGCCCGUCGCUCCUACCGAUUGAGUGGUCCGGUGAGGCUUUGGGAUCUGAGCGGAAAGAGCGUUUCGCUGUUUCUGCUCGGAAAACUCAGUCGAACCUUAUCAUUUAGAGGAAGGAGAAGUCGUAACA
rnacentral:rRNA from 1 species